rnacentral:rRNA from 1 species
GCCCCAGGUACGUGAAGGCCCUCGCGGCCGGAGCGGAACGGGGUCGCAGAGAAUCGGUGG